UGCGAUUGUAUACAGCUAGCUGUGUGUGUGUGUGUGUACGUACUGUCUGUGUAUGUUUAAUAAUAUUUAUAUAUAUGACUUGUAUAUGUGUGUGUGUAUUGUGUGUGUGUGUGUGUGUGUGUGUGUGUGUUCAAUUAUCAUCGCCGUAUACCGACGACGACGACGACGACGAGACAUUAUUAAUAGAAUCUCUUGGGGUCCUCGCCGCAG